rnacentral:rRNA from 1 species
GACGAACGCUGGCGGCGUGCUUAACACAUGCAAGUCGAACGCUGAAGCACCAGCUUGCUGGUGUGGAUGAGUGGCGAACGGGUGAGUAAUACGUGAGUAACCUGCCCUUGACUCUGGGAUAAGCCCGGGAAACUGGGUCUAAUACUUGAUGCUACAUGUCACCGCAUGGUGGUGUGUGGAAAGGGUUUACUGGUCUUGGAUGGGCUCACGGCCUAUCAGCUUUUUGGUGAGGUAAUGGCUAACCAAGGCGACGACGGGUAGCCGGCCUGAGAGAGUGACCGGCCACACUGGGACUGAGACACGGCCCAGACUCCUACGGGAGGCAGCAGUGGGGAAUAUUGAACCAUGGGCGAAAGCCUGAUGCAGCGACGCCGCGUGAGGGAUGACGGCCUUCGGGUUGUAAAACUCUUUCAGCAGGGAAGAAGCCACAAGUGACGGUACCUGCAGAAGAAGCGCCGGCUAACUACGUG